rnacentral:tRNA from 2 species
GGCACCAUGGCCUAAUGGUAAGGCGUUGCUUUCCGGUGGCAAAGAUUGGGAGUUCGAGUCUCUCUGGUGUCG